CUGAAGGUGAAGGCAAAGCCAGGACUCACACUGGUGUCCCUGUGCUUUGAGGGACAGCAGGAGCCAAGACUUCUCCUCCACUCCAAUGCUUUGAAUUACCAGAGUUUUUCUCAGGGGAAGAAGAAAGCUUGAUUAAAUUCCCUGUUAGGAAAGGGACCAAGGGAAACCUGGGGCCUGAAACCCUCUCAGUCCUUUGUGGGAAGGUGCAUGUCUUCACCCCUGUGAUGGUGCUCAGAUCUGGGAAAGGAAAGGGAAGGAAAAAAAGAUCUUUUAAAGACUGAUUUCAAAUCAAGACCCAUGAUCUUGUUACCAAGGAGGAACCUGUGAGCACCUGCAAAGUGCCUCAGAUACCACAGAGCUGAGGGGAUCCCUCCAAGCCAGCAGAGCAGCACCUCCACCCCUCAGCAAAACACCUCUUCCUCAGCAAAGCCAGGCAGGUGCAUCCUCCACAUCCCUGUCUGGAGCACAGCAGAGUCUUUGGCAGGGCACAGCCCCACCACUGCUCCACAGAGAGCACAAAGCCAGGAUUUCCAGCUCCCAGGGACACCCUGUCCUCACCCUCAGGGAGACACUGCAAGACAGAGUGGGCACGAGUGAAGACACAGCAAGGAGAGAACGUUCUCUUUGCUUUACAACCUGCAAAUUCUGCAGUCCCCAGCUCUGACAGGAAGCAGAGUCUAUUUUUCCCUUCAUUCCCAACCUGACACUCACACUGACAUA